UCCAAAGGGUUACAAAGAGAAAUAGACCACUGGAAAACCUCUCAAAAGAUUAAUUAUUCUCUUCUCUUUCUUCCUUUGUCUAUUCCUCAAGUCACUUUAAUACCUUUUGUUUGUGCUCUGUUUUCAUUCAGGCACUUCUAGCAUUGCCAUGAGUUUUCAAAGACUUCCAAGCUGAAGUGUGGACAUAACAGCACUAAAACACAGAAGAUCUAUCCAGAAAAAGAGGCCAGAGUGCCAAAGUGACAAGUCCAACUGGGAGAUCAAAUUAUCACUGUACAAAUUGUAAAAGAAGAAAUGGGAACAGAAGUAACACCAUUUAUCUCUGUUGCUACCAGUUUCCAAACAGAGGCAUGGCUCUAUUUGAACACGAAUAGGAUCACAUCAUAGAUGGGUCAGAGACUGCUUCUAUCAUCCACUGCAAGAGAAGAGAGGAGAUCCCAGGAGCAGAAUAGAUGAUUCUUGAAACUGAGGCUAACAAAAACUAUAAAUCUGUACAGAGCAUAAAUCUCAGAGGGAGAUACAAAGAGGGCAAGUUGAUCACAGGAGAUCAGGACGCUUGUUUAAGGUUAUGUUAUUGAAGUAGUAAAUAAAAUCUGUUAUCUGAUGGUCGUACAAGUAGUGCAAGUGAAACCAAUCAGAUGCCUCACACAACACACUCAUAAACAUUUAUAGCCAACAAACUGUGCCUUUUGUGAACAAGACUGAGUGUUUCUCACCAUGAAAAAGGAUGUUUUCCAGAAAAUAUCUACAAUGUGGCAACACUUUGUUGUUCAUAUUAUGCCCAAUCAUCAGAAAAAUACUGUUAGCAGAUGCUUGAUUCUGUACAAUGAACCUUUUAUUCGUUACAGGCUUCUCUGAAGAUGCUCUAAGAAAAGUAUAAGUGACUGGGAUCUGGUCGGUAUUUCAUGUUCCUCUUCCACCCUUGCAGCAGCUCAAGCUCUCUUUCUGAACUUCAAGGAUUGGUCCUUCAACACAGUAACCCCAAAUUUUCCUAUACUCAUACACACUUCUUUUAGCCUGCCAUGUGAACGAGUCUCAGCCCUUCUGUCUUGACCAGAGCAGUGCAUGUGCUCACUGGAAGGUAUGCAUGGUAUACAAGAUGACUG
ensembl:lncRNA